CCAGCAGCCGCGGUAAUUCCAGCUCCAAUAGCGUAUACUAAAGUUGUUGCAGUUAAAAAGCUCGUAGUUGGAUUUCUGGCGGGGGCGGCUGGCGGCGCCCGCAAGGACGUCUGCAUGGGUUGGCUCCCGUCAUCCUUGGGGAGAGCGGUUCUGGCAUUAAGUUGUUGGGGCCGGGAUCCCUAUCGUUUACUGUGAAAAAAUUAGAGUGUUCAAAGCAGGCUUAGGCCCUGAAUACAUUAGCAUGGAAUAAUAAGAUACGACCUUGGUCUAUUUUGUUGGUUUGCACUCCAAGGUAAUGAUUAAUAGGGAUAGUUGGGGGUAUUCGUAUUCAAUUGUCAGAGGUGAAAUUCUUGGAUUUAUGGAAGACGAACUACUGCGAAAGCAUUUACCAAGGAUGUUUUCAUUAAUCAAGAACGAAAGU
rnacentral:rRNA from 1 species